GACGAACGCUGGCGGCGUGCUUAACACAUGCAAGUCGAACGGAAAGGCCCUGCUUUUGUGGGGUGCUCGAGUGGCAAACGGGUGAGUAACACGUGAGUAACCUGCCCUUGACUUUGGGAUAACUUCAGGAAACUGGGGCUAAUACCGGAUAGGAGCUCCUGCUGCAUGGUGGGGGUUGGAAAGUUUCGGCGGUUGGGGAUGGACUCGCGGCUUAUCAGCGUGUUGGUGGGGUAGUGGCUUACCAAGGCUUUGACGGGUAGCCGGCCUGAGAGGGUGACCGGCCACAUUGGAGCUGAGAUACGGCCCGUACUCCUACGGUAGGCAGCAGUGGGGAAUAUUGCACAAUGGGCGGAAGCCUGAUGCAGCAGCGCCGCGUGCAGGAUGACGGCCUUCGGGUUGUAAACCGCUUUCGCCUGUGACGAAGCGUGAGUGACGGUAAUGGGUAAAGAAGCACCGGCUAACUACGUG
rnacentral:rRNA from 1 species